UACGGGAUAAUAUAUUUGAGAGGCAUCUCUUAAAUAUCAAAGGUGAGCCAGUACAGGAUGGACCCGCGUCUGAUUAGCUAGUUGGUAAGGUAAUGGCUUACCAAGGCGACGAUCAGUAGCCGACCUGCGAGGGUGAUCGGCCACAUUGGAACUGAGACACGGUCCAAACUCCUACGGGAGGCAGCAGUGGGGAAUAUUGCACAAUGGGCGAAAGCCUGAUG
rnacentral:rRNA from 1 species